AGCCUCCCAGUGCUUGCUAAAGAUUGUACUUAUAUACAAACUGUAUAGAAAGAGAUGGCACAUUAAAUGUACCCCAUAUACAUGUCAGCCUGGGCCCUUUGCCUUAUCUGUAUUAUGAAUGAGAGCACAUGG